rnacentral:rRNA from 1 species
ACGCUACCACAUCCAAGGAAGGCAGCAGGCGCGCAAAUUACCCACUCCCAGAACGGGGAGGUAGUCGACGAAAAAUAACAAUACGGGACUCUUUUGAGACCCCGUAAUUCGGAAUGAGUACACUCUAAAUCCUUUAACGAGGAUCCAUUGGAGGGCAACGUCUGGUGCCAUGCCAGCCGCAGGUAACGUCCAGCUCCAAUAGCAGUAUAUUAAAGUUGUUGCAGGUUAAAAAGCUCGUAGUUGGAUCUCAGUUCCAGACGGGUGGUCCGCCUACCGGUGGUUACUGCCUGUUCUGAACAGCCAGCCGGUUUCUCUUGAUGAUCUUCACCGGUUGUCUUGGGUGACCGGCAAGUUUACUUUGAAAAAAUUAGAGUGCUCAAAGCAGGCGCGACGCCUGAAUAAUGGUGCAUGGAAUAAUGGAAUAGGACCUCGGUUCUAUUUUGUUGGUUUUCGGAACACGAGGUAAUGAUUAAGAGGGACAGACGGGGGCAUUCGUAUUGCGACGCUAGAGGUGAAAUUCUUGGACCGUCGCAGGACGAACUACUGCGAAAGCAUUUGCCAAGAAUGUUUCCAUUAAUCAAGAACGAAAGUUAGAGGUUCGAAGGCGAUCAGAUACCGCCCUAGUUCUAACCAUAAACGAUGCCAGCCAGCGAUCCGGCUGUGUUCCUCAAAUGACACGCCGGGCAGCUUCCGGGAAACCAAAGCUUUUGGGUUCCGGGGGAAGUAUGGUUGCAGC